ACGAACGCUGGCGGCGUGCUUAACACAUGCAAGUCGAACGGAAAGGCCCUGCUUUUGUGGGGUGCUCGAGUGGCGAACGGGUGAGUAACACGUGAGUAACCUGCCCUUGACUUUGGGAUAACUUCAGGAAACUGGGGCUAAUACCGGAUAGGAGCUCCUGCUGCAUGGUGGGGGUUGGAAAGUUUCGGCGGUUGGGGAUGGACUCGCGGCUUAUCAGCUUGUUGGAGGGGUAGUGGCUUACCAAGGCUUUGACGGGUAGCCGGCCUGAGAGGGUGACCGGCCACAUUGGGACUGAGAUACGGCCCAGACUCCUACGGGAGGCAGCAGUGGGGAAUAUUGCACAAUGGGCGGAAGCCUGAUGCAGCAACGCCGCGUGCGGGAUGACGGCCUUCGCGUUGUAAACCGCUUUCGCCUGUGACGAAGCGUGAGUGACGGUAAUGGGUAAAGAAGCACCGGCUAACUACGUG
rnacentral:rRNA from 1 species